CUCUCUCUCUAUUCUCAAGAAAAAGAACGCUGCUCACAUCUCUCUCUCUCUCUCUCGCUCGAUUUUCUCCUCCGGCAGAGCAAUCGGCAGCCGCUGCUGCAAUUAGAUUCCGGCGAAGUCCAACAUCGCCGCCGCCGCUUGGGUCGACGGGAGCCGCUGGAGCUGCUGCUGCUCGCCCGGAGUCGACGGGCCUGACUCUUCACCUCGCCGUUGCUGCUUUACUCAUAUUCCGGCGAGGCAGCAAGGGCUCGUCGUCGUUCCCUCGGUUCGACUGAACAGGUACAUCAAUCUAGUCCCCUUCCAUUUUUCUUCUGUUCUAAGUUAACAUCUUAUAUCUGCGUGAAGUCUUGGUUCUACAUACUAUAUGUGCAAGGGAUUAAUGGCGUUGUGGGGUUGCUACUGUGUUAGCAUCUAAUUUUUAGAGUCCAGUAGGAAUCAUAAACGCAUAGGACAUUCUACAUAACAUGGGUAAAUCUGUAUUACUGAAACGUGACCUUGCUAAGUCCAUUAUGCAUAUAUAUCUCAAUUCUUUAUUCUGACUUUCUAAAACAUAAGCAUACUUGUUGGUGUGAAUCAUGUAGCAUGAACUAGAGUAAAAUGAGAUUAGCAAUCACCUUGUGUGUUUUGUGCUUGGUUGGCUGCUGUGCUAAUGAAUUCAGGAGUGAAUAAACUGAAACAUAAUUGUGGAUUUUGCUUAACCAUUGCAGGCUGAACUCAAGAAGAAAAUGGAGAAGUUUAAGUUGAGCUUACCUCUUGGGGUCCAGAUUGCAGCUGAAAUAAACUCUCUAUGAUUUUUGGUGCAUAAAGGAAGGAGGGGGAAUCGUAGUUGGUGAUUUUCAGGCUUCUAUGAAGCCCUCAAUUUAUAGGCAGAUUAGCCCGCAAAACUUGAAAAACUAUUUACAGCAAAAGUGGAAAUUUUGCUGCAACUUUUGACAAAAAUGAAAUUGGUUGGUGGCUGCCAUAUUUUUUUGACUAAUAGUGGAAUUCCAUGUGAGACUUUGAAAAGUGGAGUACUCAUCAUAGGGUGCGUCUGAUCCUAGUUGUAUCUUAGCAUGGCUUCAAAUAUUAAAUUGUGACUUUUGCAGGGAAAAGAGUAUGGCCUUAGCAGAG
rnacentral:lncRNA from 1 species